rnacentral:rRNA from 1 species
AUUGAACGCUGGCGGCAUGCCUUACACAUGCAAGUCGAACGGUAACGGGCCUUCGGGUGCCGACGCGUGGCGAACGGGUGAGUAAUACAUCGGAACGUGCCCGAUCGUGGGGGAUAACGAGGCGAAAGCUGUGCUAAUACCGCAUACGAUCUACGUAUGAAAGCCGGGGGCAGCAAGGCCUUGCGCGGGCGGAGCAGCCGAUGGCAGAUUAGGUAGUUGUUGGGAUAAAAGCUUACCAAGCCGACGAACUGUAGCUGGUCUGAGAGGAUGAUCAGCCACACUGGGACUGAGACACGGCCCAGACUCCUACGGGAGGCAGCAGUGGGGAAUUUUGGACAAUGGGCGCAAGCCUGCUCCAGCCAUGCCGCGUGCAGGAUGAAGGCCUUCGGGUUGUAAACUGCUUUUGUACGGAACGAAAAGCCUUCUUUUAAUACAGGAGGGUCAUGACGGUACCGUAAGAAUAAGCACCGGCUAACUACGUG